GGGAGAAUGGCAGAGCGGUCAAUUGCACCUGACUGUAAAUCAGGCGCCUUCUGGCUUCGAUGGUUCAAAUCCAUCUUCUCCCACCA
rnacentral:tRNA from 1 species